UACGUAGGGCCCGAGCGUUCUCCGGUAUUCUUGGGCGUAAAGCGUACGUAGGCGGUUUGGUAAGACAAUGGUUAAAGCUCCGAGCCUAACUCGGAAAUCGCCGUUGUGACUGCCAGACUAGUCGGUAGCAGGGGCAAGCGGAAUUCUCGGUGUAGGAGUGAAAUCCGUUGAGAUCGAGAAGAACACCAAUGGCGAAGGCAGCUUGCUAGGCUAUCUGAGACGCUGAGGUACGAAAGCGUGGGGAGCGAACGGG
rnacentral:rRNA from 1 species